GACGAACGCUGGCGGCGUGCCUAACACAUGCAAGUCGAACGGAAAGGCCCUGCUUUUGUGGGGUGCUCGAGUGGCGAACGGGUGAGUAACACGUGAGUAACCUGCCCUUGACUUUGGGAUAACUUCAGGAAACUGGGGCUAAUACCGGAUAGGAGCUACUGCUGCAUGGUGGGGGCUGGAUAGUUUAGGCGGUUGGGGAUGGACUCGCGGCUCAUCAGCUUGGUGGUGGGGUAGUGGCUUACCAAGGCUUUGACGGGUAGCAGGCCUGAGAGGGUGACCGGCCAAAUUGGGAUGGGGAUGCGGCACAGACUCGUACGGGAGGCAGCAGAGGGGAAUAUUGCACAAUGGGCGGAGGCCUGGUGCAGCAAAGCCGCGUGCGGGAUGACGGCAAUCGGGUUGUAUACUGCUUUCGCCUGUGACGAAGCGUGAGUGACGGUAAUGGGUAAAGAAGCACCGGCUAACUACGUG
rnacentral:rRNA from 1 species